CCUACAAGAACAGACCAAUUGUCAAUUUGGUGUCAUGACUGAAAACUAGUCCUGGCGAUGACAGGGACACAGCAAGGCCAGCACAACAGACAACUGGUCGAAAUAAUGACACCUUCCAGCCAACAGCCGCAAAGCACGUUAAUGCAUUAAGCUUCCCAAACGAGCACUGGGAGAACCAGGAAGGGUUAUCACCAAAUGAAGAAACUGAGCCCUGGUCUACACUACGAGUUUAGGUCGAAUUUAGCAGCAACAGGCAAAGUGACUUGGUCACAAGGAAUCUGACUGUUCUGGGAAUAGAACCAACAUCUCCUGACUGGUGUGCUAAGCCAAGAAUAGCCGUCUCUGGAUCUGUAACCCUGAACAGAAGGCAAUGAUGGGAAUGCUUCUUUCAUGUGCUUUGGAUCCCACACUGAGCUGAGCACCAGCUACAGAAUGAUUAUUAUUACAGUAAUGCCUGAAGGCCUCCUCAUGCUGGGCACUCUAGAGACCCAGUAAGAGACAAUCCCCAUCCAUGAGAAGCUCACAAUCUAAACAGACAAGACAGGGAAAGGGUGGGAGAUUACAGUGUGAUUCACAAUGUGUACUAGAAAGAGAGCAAUAUGUAGUAAGGGGUGUGUGCUGGAGCCUGAUAGUCAUAUACAACGGCAGAGGCAGCCCUUAAUGCUCAGCACAGGAAUGUUGUGAAAUAUCACGUUCUAAAUGCCAUAUUGACAGUCCCUAAUAACAAUGCCCCCGCCGAAGGAAUUCUUUUAGUGACCUGCCAUGGCUUGCAGUGAUCAGUGGAGAACCUGUCGUCUGCCAAAUAGUAAAACAGAAGGAGAUUUGCUGAGAAGGAGAUUGGCUAUGUCGAAUGGUAGAAGGACGCUCUCACAGGACUGACAGGAUGAAUUCACUGCUGGUUAUUAAACCAGGAUGCAUUUAGCUACUGACGCAUGUUGUACUUUGCAUGUGUAACAGAAAUCAACUCUUAUUUAUUUUUGUGAGCUAAGGGCCUGUCAAAACUUGCUGAGAAACAAACUAACUGAGAAAAAUAUUCUAGGCUAAGUACAAUAAAACCUGUGCCACCUUUA